AACCCUUUUCCCCAGGAUGGACAUGUCCAAUACUAGAGAGCAGAGCUGUAAGGUGAGUGGGGAA